rnacentral:lncRNA from 1 species
CUCCUAUCCAGAUAAAGUUUGUCAAAUGUCAACAAGUAAAUACGAGGCUUCAAAAGAUGUACAUCAGACUCUAAAAACAACUCUCAAAGAGAAUUUCCAAAAUAUGACAGCCUCAUGAAGAUACUCAUAGCCAUAGGAUACCCUCUGUCAAUACUUCAGAAGGAAAUCCUGGGUAGGACACAUAAUCACUGAACUGUUAGUUUCUUUUCAAAUAUCCCACUGCUUUAUAAUAAUAAC